rnacentral:rRNA from 1 species
GGUUCUUUGGAUAAAAUAAAGUAAAGAAUCUUACCUGCCCAGUGAUGGAAAUUUAACGGCCGCGGUAAUUUAACUGUGCGAAGGUAGCAUAAUCAAUUGUCUAUUAAUUAUAGACUGGAAUGAAUGGUGUGACUAGGGAUUGGUUGUCUUAGAGUUAUUUUGAAAUUUUCAUUUUCUUGAAGAGGAGAAGAUGAUUUAGGGGGACGAGAAGACCCUAUUGAGCUUUAUAUAGAGAGUAUAUAUAUAUUUGUGGAGAAUUGGAUAUAAAAUAUAUUUUGCUGGGGCGGUGUGGUUAAUAUACAAACAAUUUUAAAAGUAAAAAUAAUAAUAACUGAGGGUAUGAUCCAAUAUUAUUGAUUAUUAGACUAAGUUACUGUAGGGAUAACAGCGUAAUAUUAUUUUGAAGUACUAAUUUAUGAUAAAGAUUGCGACCUCGAUGUUGGUUUAGGAAACUUAUUUGGUGCAGAUGCUAAGUUAAGUAGUCUGUUCGACUAUUAAAUUCCUAUA